rnacentral:lncRNA from 1 species
ACGGUUCAGGGGAUUGAUUGAUUACAGCAGAAGCUGUGCCCUCUGAACCUGGCUGCAGCCAAAUAAAACUGUUUCCUGCUGUCUUGGAUGCCUUGCCUCCUCUGUCCCUACCACAAACAGAGGAAUUGGGCCAAAGGGUAUGCACAUACCUGCUGGACCCGAGAAAGGUGCACAGGAGAGAUCCAUAUGGCUUGACCCCGUUUUGACACUGAACAUCUUACAUCCUUAGAAAACCUCUCUGCCCUGGGAAGGAAUGUGGGAGCCCGGGAAUGGCUUCUCGGAAGAGAUGACAGCCAGAGAAGACGGGAACAGCGCAUGUGCGAGCAUGGAACAGAGAGUCGCCUGCGGUGUGUUACUGGAACUCACUAUCUGGAGGGAUGAGAAAGUGACCGUGAAGGUAGGCUGAGGGCGAUCUUGGAGCGCUGCUCAUUGGAUCUGAGUGUGUAAGUGUUGAUUUUGCACAGAAGUGAAACAGAUUUUCCCUGUUAGGCAGACACUUGAGACUAGACCUCAACACGUAAAUUGUGCAUGGUUAGAAGCAGAAGCUAAGCUGUUGCCUUAAAUUGUCAGGCUUUACCGUGAUGCUGUGUAGAAGUCAGGAUUUGCCUUGGCAACAAGUUAUUCCUGAUAUGGGAAGAAUUCGCUUGUGCUCUCUCUUCAUCAGGUGAUAUAAGUAUGCAACGUUCUUGGCUUUAACACUGAACACUGGUGAAAUCACUCGCAGACAGGCCCAGUUGCAGGGGUGAAGGGGCUAUUUAGAGAUUGAAUAUGAACUUGGAGACACUUGGUUUCAGAGACUGAUUCUAGGACCAAAAGAAGAUAUUCAUCUCAUCAGUUAAAACUGUGUCCCAGCCCUGAACCACACAGCUUAUAGUGUGCCAAAAUAAGUUGGUAUUUUUUUUUAACAAACCUUGUAAUUGGUACAAGUAUAUUGUAUUAUAAGACUGUUAUAUUGAAAAUGAUAAUGUGCAGGGGAUAAAAACACUUCAG